rnacentral:rRNA from 1 species
AUUGAACGCUGGCGGCAUGCUUUACACAUGCAAGUCGAACGGCAGCGCGGGCUUCGGCCUGGCGGCGAGUGGCGAACGGGUGAGUAAUACAUCGGAACGUGCCCAGUAGUGGGGGAUAGCUCGGCGAAAGCCGGAUUAAUACCGCAUACGACCUGAGGGUGAAGGCGGGGGAUCUUCGGACCUCGCGCUAUUGGAGCGGCCGAUGGCAGAUUAGCUAGUUGGUGGGGUAAAGGCCUACCAAGGCGACGAUCUGUAGCUGGUCUGAGAGGACGACCAGCCACACUGGAACUGAGACACGGCCCAGACUCCUACGGGAGGCAGCAGUGGGGAAUUUUGGACAAUGGGCGAAAGCCUGAUCCAGCAAUGCCGCGUGUGUGAUGAAGGCCUUCGGGUUGUAAAGCACUUUUGGCGGGAAAGAAAAGGACUGUGCCAAUACCACGGUUCGAUGACGGUACCCGCAGAAUAAGCACCGGCUAACUACGUG